AGCCACAGCCACAUCACCCUGCAGCCUAAGACCGGUUACUCACUGAAGCUAUGCAGGGCUGAGCCUGGUUUGUACCUGGAUGGGAGACCACUAGGGAACACUAGGUUGCUGUUUGAA
rnacentral:rRNA from 1 species